rnacentral:rRNA from 1 species
AUAUCAAUAAGCGGAGGAAAAGAAACCAACAGGGAUUGCCUCAGUAACGGCGAGUGAAGCGGCAACAGCUCAAAUUUGAAAUCUGGAGUCUUUCGGCUUCCGAGUUGUAAUUUGAAGAGGAUGUUUCGGUGCGACCUGGGCCUAAGUUCCUUGGAACAGGACGUCAUGGAGGGUGAGAAUCCCGUACAUGGCUGCAGGUUUGCUUCUAUGUGAAACUCCUUCGAAGAGUCGAGUUGUUUGGGAAUGCAGCUCAAAAUGGGUGGUAAAUUUCAUCUAAAGCUAAAUAUUGGCGGGAGACCGAUAGCGCACAAGUAGAGUGAUCGAAAGAUGAAAAGCACUUUGAAAAGAGAGUUAAACAGUACGUGAAAUUGUUGAAAGGGAAGCGCUUGCAAUCAGACUCGCCUUCAGCUGAUCAACCUUCCUUCUGGUUGGUGCACUCUGCUGUUGGCGGGCCAGCAUCAGUUGGGGCGGCGGGAUAAAGGCAGCAGGAAUGUGGCUCGUUUCGGCGAGUGUUAUAGCCUGCUGUGUCAUGCCGCCAGUCCCGACUGAGGUCCGCGGUUCGCCUAGGAUGCUGGCUUAAUGGUUGUAAGCGAC